rnacentral:rRNA from 1 species
CAAUAGCGUAUAUUAAAGUUGUUGCAGUUAAAAAGCUCGUAGUUGGAUUUCUGGUCGGAAGCUCCUGUCCUCUGAUGAGCGUACAAGUGCGUCCUACCAUCCUUCUGUUAACCUUUAAGGCUUUCGCGGCUUUCUAGGGGCUCAGAUAUUUACCUUGAGAAAAUUAGAGUGUUUCAGGCAGGCUAGCGCCGGAAUACAUUAGCAUGGAAUAAUGGAAUAGGACUUUUGCCUCUUCUGUUGGUCAUGAGGCUCGAGUAAUGAUUAAUAGGGAUAGUUGGGGGCAUUAGUACUUAACUGUCAGAGGUGAAAUUCUCGGAUUUGUUAAAGACUAACUUAUGCGAAAGCAUUUGCCAAGGAUGUUUUCAUUA